UACGGGGGGGGCAAGCGUUGUUCGGAAUUACUGGGCGUAAAGGGCUCGUAGGCGGCCAACUAAGUCAGACGUGAAAUCCCUCAGCUCAACUGGGGAACUGCGUCUGAUACUGGUCGGCUUGAGUGCAGGAGAGGAACGCGGAAUUCCAGGUGUAGCGGUGAAAUGCGUAGAUAUCUGGAGGAACACCGGUGGCGAAGGCGGCGUUCUGGACUGCAACUGACACUGAGGAACGAAAGCGUGGGGAGCGAACAGG
rnacentral:rRNA from 1 species